rnacentral:rRNA from 1 species
CAGCCGCCGCGGGAAUACGUAGGGUGCAAGCGUUAAUCGGAAUUACUGGGCGUAAAGCGUGCGCAGGCGGUGUUGUAAGACUGAUGUGAAAUCCCCGGGCUCAACCUGGGAACUGCAUUGGUGACUGCAACGCUGGAGUGCGGCAGAGGGGGAUGGAAUUCCGCGUGUAGCAGUGAAAUGCGUAGAUAUGCGGAGGAACACCGAUAGCGAAGGCAAUCCCCUGGGCCUGCACUGACGCUCAUGCACGAAAGCGUGGGGAGCAAACAGGAUUAGAUACCCGCGUAGUCCCUGUCUCUUAUAC